rnacentral:lncRNA from 1 species
GGUUAUCCCGAAGACCCAGCCUACACACCUGGACAAUAGGUUGGGAGCAGUGAUGACCCAGUUCAAGAUGAAAUUGAAUCAAUCCCACUUCGCUGUCCCAGAUAUUGUUGGAGUUUUGUUUUCCCCUCACCCUGAGUUGGGAAAGUUGCCUGAAUGAUUUGUGCCUGAGCGCUCUUAUCUAGAGUGGAACGUAAAGUUGUGACCAUUUUCACUGGGAAAAUAGGUGAUUUGUCUGGAGGAGAGUAUCCCAAGUUCCAGACUCGAAUGCUAUGUGCCCUUUUAUGUUACCUUCUUC